CCAUGAGCUUCAUCACCAUCUUCAUCUGGAUCUUCACUAGCUACUGUUUCACAGAAUCAGCAGCUGAAGUGACAGUCACUCAGACGCCUGCAGUCAAACCUGUUCAACCAGGAGACACAGUUACCAUGUCCUGUAAAACCAGCCCUGAAGUUUACCAGGGUUGGGGUUUUCAGCCUCUAUCCUGGUACUUACAGAAACCUGGAGAAGCUCCUAAACUCCUGAUUUAUUAUGCAAACGUCCUCCAGUCAGGAACUCCAUCUAGAUUCAGUGGCAGUGGAUCUAACAGAAGUGAAACUGUUCCAGUUCAGAGCGCUGAACCGAUCAAACAGUGA